rnacentral:lncRNA from 1 species
GGGUGGCGCGCGGCAGCAGGGUUGGGCUCUCGCCGUGAGUCGACGAAGGGAGCGCGGGCGCGCGCCCGCGUCCGCGCACUGAGAGUCGCCUCGGCCGCUCGCUUUCUCGACUCCCGCCUCGCGCCUCGAUCCUGUUCCGCCUCCCUCGGCCCUCCUGCCCGCCCCCACUCGUCGGCCCUCAGGUAGGAGGCGGCGCGCCCCGGGGUCGGGAGUGGAAUCGCUGGAGGCUGCGAGUCGCCUGCCCGCCUGUGGGCGCGCCCGUUGGGAGGGGAGCGCCCCCCAGCGGGCGCGGGCGCGAGGGCAGCCGGCGCGCUGGGCGAGCCUGGCUCAGGGUCCCGGCGGCCGGGGUGCAGGGCGCGUGCGCGCGCGGCGGGGCGGGGCCUGCGCGGCUCUGGCGGGCGCACGUGGUGCCCGGGAGCUGCUGGGCGGGCACUCACCGCGGGGACUCGGUGCGGAGCCGGGGCGCCGAGUGUCUCCGUGUCCCUCUGCCCCAGCCGGCGGCCGCGAUGGUGGAGCUUGGCCUCUCGCUCUCUCCCGCCUCUCCAGCGACUGCUCUGCCGGCCGCGGAGGUCGGAUCGAGCGGUCAUUCAUUCAUUUGUUAAUUCGUUCACUUAUUCAGGGGAGAUCAUUGAACCCCUACGGAGUACCGGGUACUGGGCCGGGCGCUGAGGACGCGGGGCUGAGCAAAAGCAGCCGAGGCCCACCUUCGUGCCCCUUAAAACCCAGCGUGCGGGGCGGCAACGAGUACUGCUUUUCUGUUUUGCACUUAAAAUUUACAUUUUGCAUCCGUACUUUUUAUUUACUGUGCACCCUUACGGCAUGCUUUACGCACCCGUACCUGCACCUCCUAGCCUUGAGUGUAGACACCAGAUCCUGAGAUGGGCGAUUUUUCGAGAAUAAUUUUUACCCUAAGUGGAUUUUCGUGCCACGCAUGGACUUGGAACUACACACACGUAGUCCAAAACGUGAAAGUCAAAAUGCAGCUUUGCCAAGUGGCAGGGAGAAAGGAGAGCUGAGAAGAUGAGGAGAGGAAGGGCGCGCUCCAGGCUUUCCAGCCCGGGUGCGGUAGACGUAGCCCUGAAGGAUGAACCCAGGCUGGUAGUAGGGCGGCGGGAGGGCGGGGGGACCUGUCAGUCAAGUCCAAAGCAGAAACGCGGCGCCGGAUCCCAGUCAGAGGCCGGCUGGAACGCUUCCCACAGGCUCCUGGCGCUCCGGUCCCCACCAGGCGACCUUGAUCCUGGCGUGCUCAGCGGAGCCAGCGCAGCGUCGGGAGCUGGAGAGACGCGGGGCGCCGGCUGAGCGCUCCUGCCCUCUGCCUCUGGGCUAGCCUCUGGCCCGGCCUCCCGGCCUCCCCCAGGGUACGCUCUCCCCCAAGAGCGAACACCAGCUUUGGGAUCGCCAGCAGCCACGUCUCUGCUUCUAGAUCUCUUUUUUUUUUCUUUGAGACUUAGUUGAUAGCUGUUUAAGGAAUUAUGUGGAGGAAAUCUCACCUCCGACCCCCGCCCCCGUUGAGCACGGCCGGCCAGGGUCGCUGGGUGGGCCAGGAGGAAAGAAAGGGGCGGGGAAGAAGCAGCAAUUUUACUUUAAAUUAAAAUGACACAAAAAUAUUUUUUCAACUCAGAUCUUUCUGAGACAUCCCCAGAAAGCGUUGCAAGCUGUGAUUACACCUAAUGUGAGAGCAUGAACUAAUUUAAGAGGUGAGAGCUGCAUAAUGAGGCUGCCUCCCGUGUAGCAGCCAAGACUGGCAGCUCUGGCGGCGCGCUGGAGGGGACCGGGAGGGGCACCCUUGUAGAACCAGUCCCUGGCGCCCUGGGAUCUUCUCAGUGCCCUGGCGCUGUGUUGUCGGUCACUCCACAGAUAUUACAGGGUGCCUCCUGAAUGCCGGGUUGCAAUCAAGAGCAAGAGAUGGGGCGAGUGAAAGAGCCUGUUUUCAGGAGCUCAGCAUCAGGAUGACGAUUACCUAGAGGGAGGUGGUGGCCAGCCUCCCCCUCUUCUCUUCAUGCUGAGGCUCUGGUGGGCAGUGCCCAAGCCUGAACUGCCAUCUGUAUGCCAGUGGUUACCCAACUUGUAUUUUCAGUCUUAGCCUCUCUCUGGUCCAGACUUGUCAUUCUAAGGGCCCUUUUUCACUGACUCACAUUGUCUCCUCCCUCCCUGCCUUCCAAACUCAGCCUUUUCCUUUUUCCCUUUCCCACUGACAACAGCUGCACGACCCCCCCGCCCCCCCACGAGGUGAAAAUUCCCAAGAACCCCAUGUCUAACCUAACUCCCUCUCUAUGUCCUGUUGCUUGAGCCAUUCUCAUUAGGCUGCCUGUUCGGAGUUCAUUAUCUCCUAAUUUUUCAUCCAGGAAUUGAUGAAGAAUCACCUACUGCCUCUCCCACACACUGUUUAUUCUUUCAUUUGAUGAUAUCUGUUAAGUGCCCUGAGAUAUGUAACCUCCACUUCCCUCCCAUAUAAGUGAGAUUUCACGUUGAUUACUUCCUUGGCUUUCCUCAUCCCUUAUCCACAUAGCAUGUGUUCAAAAUAAUGAAUAUUAAUUUAAUGUUAAUAGAUAUGUGCUUUCCUGAAUUGUGAGGAUUAAAUGAAAUCAUGUAUAUAGGGAGGAAAAUCCAUUAGAAACCUCAAAAGCAGUUAUGUUUAUUUUUGCUAUUGUCACAUUGUUAGAGUCAGAAUUCUUUUAGCUGCAAGUGACAAAACCAACUCAAACUGGCUUAAGGACUUUAUUGGUUGUGAAUUUCCUACCACAGUGCAUUUUGAGAAAUGAAUAUAACAGCAGUCUUCAUAGAUGCCAUAUUCAUGGCAACUCUGUCCCCCGCCAACACCACACCCUGGAAAAAAACCAACUUUCUAUUGUUGGAAUGAGGUAACAUUUUCAGGAAAAGGGAACCAUUUUCUCACAGGAUAUAGAACAAAUUCAACCUUUUAUUAAAUCAAAAUGGAUUCUCUAAUGUUUAUACAUAUCAUAUAGGAUUUCAUCUCUUUCAAUCUUGGUUCAAAGGCCCAGACAGUACCAUUCCCUAGUAUUUAGUCCAUUUGCUCAUAAAGCAGAAGAGAAAAGCUACUUUGUUCCGAAGGGUGUUAGAUUUAGGAUUCCAAGGUUAUUUCAAAUUAAUGCCUGGAACUAGACUAUAAAAUGCAGGAAAGAUUCUAAGUUGUUCAAAGAUGAAAUAUCUUAACUUUCACCAAAAACUCUGUCUUCUGGGUAUUUUUUGUUUUUCUGCCUUUCCAGAUUUAUUUUAAAUACAACAUUUUUGCUGUUUACAUUUUUAAAAGUUACAUUUCAAAAUUGUUCAUAAUUGGACACUUUCAUAAAAUGUAGGCAAAUGCAGUUUUACUUUUUAAUGAAGGACAAGUCUGUUGAUAACAUUUUGAUUCUUAAAAUUUUUUUUAUCUUAUAAAAAUGAAACAAUGCAUUUAAAGUGUCUUCAGCUCUUAUGUUAAUACCAAAUUAUACAUUUUCUUAGCCCAUGUUCAGGAGAGACAAUAUAUCUUCCAAAUUAAGAGAAGCUGGCACCAUUUUUAAAACAAGGCCUUGAAUCUGCUGUGGUAUGUGCUGGUAGGAAUUUUGUAUGAAGCUGUUAUUGAAGUAGAUGACAUUAAGGUCAAAGGAAAAAAAAAACAGAAAAUAAUGUAAUCCUACAGAGCUGCUCUUAAGAUCUUGAGAGAAAAACCACGUAGGUAACAUCAAACACUAGUUGGAAUCUUUCCAAGAAGUAAUUAUCUGUGUGCUGUUUGUGGUGGUUGAUUAUGGGAACAAACCAAGGUUUAGCCAAUUCAGCAAACAUUUAUGGAGUGCCUGCAAUGUGCAUGUCACUGUUUUAAGGCCUGUGCCUACUGUAAAGGUGACCCACACAUGAUGCCUGCCUUGCAGGACUUGGAGUUCAGCGAUAAUAAGAGAUGCAUACCUGAAAAGCCUAUUUAAGACUCUUCCGGUUCUACAAAGAAGGCUUCUUGAAAGUGGUAGCUUUGAUUACUCUUUGGAUUUAUUUACAUUUAUCCUAUAAUCAGAAGGUAUACAAAACAGACUCACACAUAUAUAAAAUUAAUAGAUUAGAUAGCAUUUAAACAAAUAUUUCAGGUAGGUACUUCAAAUGCAUUUGACAUUUAUCAAAGAAAUGGUAAGUGCUGUCAUCCGUGGGUGGCUGGAUUAACAUGUGGGACUACUUAUCACCAAUUUUGUUAGGGAUCUUAGGGAAAUUCCUGGAUCUUAUAUUCACAAGCAAUUGUAUAAAUACUUCCCACAGCUCAGAGACCUAAUAGGAUGGGGUCUUAGAGAAACAUCUUUUGAGCCACAGACUUCUUUGUUACCAGAAGGAAAAUGAAAGAAGAAAUUUAAAUACCACUUGAAGAGAGGUAAAUAAAUGAGAAAUGGGGCUGAGAGGGCGGGUAUUUUUUUAAAAAUUC